ensembl:lncRNA
GUUUGAAAGAUGUCCAAACAAAACCUGAAGAAAAUAAACGGAGACAGUUUGAAUGGCCAGGAUGACAAAAACUCUGAAGUCACAAGGUUUUAUAGUCAAACUGUGGACAGACAGACAGAAUUUCAAAGAUUCAAAACAGAGAAAGGCAGACACGAGAAGAAACAAUAUCAAAGUUCUAAUACUGGUGCUGAUGGAAAAUCCCAAGGAGAAUCUCCAAAUGGAAACAAAACCACAGCUAAUUCUUUAAUCAAAUCUGAAAAGCGAAAGAGAAUAGUUAUACAAUUUAAAUCCAAAGAAGCUAAACAUGGAAAAAAUACAGGCACUGCUGAUGUAGUGACAACUAGCGGGGAAGAUCAUAACAAAGGUCCUUUUGACGUUAAAGAAAGAAAAAGACACUGUCAUAGCUUUGUGGUUCAGAGAGACAAGGUGGUGAAGAAAAAGAAAGUUGAACUCUGUAAACCAAAGGUAAAAGUUGAACAAACUGUGUUGGGACAACUGAAGUCAUCUGCAUAUAAUUUAUAUGUACCUCAUAAAAAGGCAGACAGAUCUAGAAAAACGAGUGAGGAUGUCAGAAUUCAAAAAAAGCCACCUAGCACAUCUAUAGAGACUGUGUGUCAUGAUAGACCUGUCACUAAGAAGUCAAAUGUGUUAUCUAGGACUUGUGAAGAAAAGUAUAAAGAAGAAUAUAAGGAAUUUUCUAAGAAAAACCAACAUGCUAACAAGCAUACAUCACACUGCUCAACUGAAACACUGCAGCAAUGGGACUGUUGUAAAUGGAAAAAACAGGAUGCUGAUCGAGUUAGUUGUAAUUCAGGGACUGAAAAAGGGGACUUCGAAGCCACAGAAUUUUGUUUUAAGCAGGGCUUUCCAUCCCCUCAAAGCAGUGCAAUCUUUCCAUUGCCUCAAGGUUGUGAAUACUUAGAAGGUGACCAAGAGAUGCAGAUAGUUGAGGAUUUGCAUGUUGCUCGUAUUGAAAAGAGGAUGGCCCAAUCUGUAGUACAGACCUGUGGAGAACUGACAAGUAUGGAAAUAGAUCUUCCAGAACAGGAUUUAAAUAUUUCUGCUGAGACUUCUUCCGGUCAGUUUCAUCUCCGUGUCAGUUUACCCAUGUCUGCGUGCCUGGUAAUCAUCCCUGUAUUCUCCCCAGCUUACACAUCCCUUUACUUUUUCCUUCUUUUCCCUUGUUUUUUUCCCCAGCGUGUCAUUACUCUUGUCACGCACUGGUUUCCUGCCUUCUCCACUGUGUUCUGAUGCUUCUGAUGCUGGGGCUGGCGAUCUCUUCUGCUCUCAGAAAGGCAUCCUUAAAGAGCUCCUUUAUAACUCAGCAUUUGAGAACGUAAUCUUCAUUUCCUUCUGUAAAUGGAGAGCUGUAGUAUUUUCUAUAGUAAUUUCAUAAUUAGCCUCCUUUGUCUGAGUUAACUGGAAGCUGUGAAACAUACAUACUAAGCGUUGCAGAAUUAGAACCUGUCCAAAAUACCACUGCUUGGCUGGCUUUGUUCCUUCUUGGUGUGAGGGGAAAAAAAACAACCAAGGAGAGUGUUUGACCUUUCUUUCUAUUUUCAGCAGAUUUUGUAAUGACGGGGCUUUUAAAAAUGGAAAUCAUUUUCUACCUAAGGGUUUUUUUGUUGUUUAUUGUGUCGAUGAUUUUAUAUGCCGUUCAUAAAGAAUUGCUUAGCGAUAAGUACCUUACAGAGAACCAGUUUCAUUCACUGUCAAGUCUUGACAGAUAAGAAGCGCAGUGGUACCUGAUCCCUCUGUGGAGACGUCCAAUUUCUACACGGUUUGUGCUUUAGUGGGAUGCCAUACGUACCUCUUUAUGGUUAAGGACAGUUAAAAGCCUAAGAAUUGUUCUCCAAAAGGCUCUCAUCUCAGGUUUCUAGCAAGCUGGAUGAGGUAUUCUUCUAGACAGAGAGAAUGUAGAUCUGUCUAUCUUUAGCUUGUAGAAGAAAUUGGCUAAUGCAGCGUUAGGAAGACUGUGGUCAAAGUGCUAAAUUUUUUUUUCCCCUUGUCUUGCAGAAGCCAAGAACAGACUCAAGGCUUUGCUUCUGAGACACAGAGAGUAACUAAGUGCAAGUACAUUAGUUUCUGCACACCACUGAAACAAACAGCCUCAUUUUUUGCUGUUUUCUGGUCAGAUUUGAUUUGUAGCUUCCAUCAUUUCCUAGGUGGCCAGUUGUCCAUUCGUGAAGUUAAUUGGGGCCCGUGGUGAGUACAAUGAUAAGUUCUGAUCAGUGAGGACAGACAUGUGGAAUCACAAUUACAGUGGUCUGGGGAGGAAGAAAAAUACCAGCAAUCUGAGGGCUUUUUGCACUGCAUAGAGAAGCUAACACUUCAAUAUGGGAUUACUGAGUCUAAUAACCUAAGAGCUCAACUAUCCUGCAGAAGUUCUUGGGAGAGUAGGAAGCUGAAACUUCUCUUCAGUGGUUAAUCCCUUAGCUGCUGGACAUUAGAGUUUCUGUUUGGUUACAUUUAGAAGUUUCUGUUUCCAACUGAUUAUUUCUAUUCAAAUUCUUCUCAUUUUAAAAGGUAGAAUCUUCCUUUUUUCCUGUAAGGAAAUAAAGGGUGCCUGAAGAAGGUGGUAAAUGCGUUG